UGACUUAAUGGGGCUCUCAAGGGACUC
rnacentral:piRNA from 1 species